UACGUAGGGGGCGAGCGUUAUCCGGAAUCACUGGGCGUAAAGCGCACGUAGGCGGAUUGCUAAGUCAGGGGUGAAAUCCUGGAGCUCAACUCCAGAACUGCCUUUGAUACUGGCGAUCUUGAGUCCGGGAGAGGUGAGUGGAACUGCGAGUGUAGAGGUGAAAUUCGUAGAUAUUCGCAAGAACACCAGUGGCGAAGGCGGCUCACUGGCCCGGUACUGACGCUGAGGUGCGAAAGCGUGGGGAGCAAACAGG
rnacentral:rRNA from 1 species